rnacentral:tRNA from 1 species
GGGGAUUUAGCUCAGCAGCAUAAGCAUCUGCUUUGGAAGCAGGCAGUCGUGAGUUCAAUCCCCG